UACGUAGGGUGCGAGCGUUGUCCGGAAUUAUUGGGCGUAAAGAGCUCGUAGGCGGCUUGUCGCGUCGGAUGUGAAAGCCCGGGGCUUAACUCCGGGUCUGCAUUCGAUACGGGCAGGCUAGAGUUCGGUAGGGGGAGAUCGGAAUUCCUGGUGUAGCGGUGAAAUGCGCAGAUAUCAGGAGGAACACCGGUGGCGAAGGCGGAUCUCUGGGCCGAUACUGACGCUGAGGAGCGAAAAGCGUGGGGGAGCGAAACAGG
rnacentral:rRNA from 1 species